rnacentral:tRNA from 1 species
GCUGGGAUAGUGAAGCGGUCAAACACGACAGACUGUAAAUCUGUUGGCAUUCGCCUUCGUAGGUUCGAAUCCUACUCCCAGCACCA